CCUACGGGAGACAGCAGUGAGGAAUAUUGGUCAAUGGCCGGAAGGCUGAACCAGCCAUGCCGCGUGAAGGUCAGUGCCCUAUGGGCGUUAAACUUCUUUUGUGCGGGAGCAAUAAUGGUCACGUGUGGCCAGACGAGAGUACCGUACGAAUAAGCAUCGGCUAACUCCGUGCCAGCAGCCGCGGUAAUACGGGGGAUGCAAGCGUUAUCCGGAUUUAUUGGGUUUAAAGGGUGCGUAGGCUGUGAGGUAAGUCAGCGGUGAAAUGCCCCCGCUCAACGGGGUGAAGUGUCAUUGAUACUGCCUGGCUGGAAUGCGGAUGCGGUGGGAGGAAUGUGUGGUGUAGCGGUGAAAUGCAUAGAUAUCACACAGAACACCGAUUGCGAAGGCAUCUCACGAAUCCGCGAUUGACGCUGAUGCACGAAAGCGUGGGUAUCAAACAGGAUUAGAUACCCUUGUAGUC
rnacentral:rRNA from 1 species